rnacentral:rRNA from 1 species
GACGGGUGAGUAAUGUCUGGGAAACUGCCUGAUGGAGGGGGAGUAACUACUGGAAACGGUAGCUAAUACCGCAUAACGUCGCAAGACCAAAGAGGGGGACCUUCGGGCCUCUUGCCAUCGGAUGUGCCCAGAUGGGAUUAGCUAGUAGGUGGGGUAACGGCUCACCUAGGCGACGAUCCCUAGCUGGUCUGAGAGGAUGACCAGCCACACUGGAACUGAGACACGGUCCAGACUCCUACGGGAGGCAGCAUG